rnacentral:rRNA from 1 species
AUUGAACGCUGGCGGCAGGCUUAACACAUGCAAGUCGAGCGGAGAUGAGGUGCUUGCACCUUAUCUUAGCGGCGGACGGGUGAGUAAUGCUUAGGAAUCUGCCUAUUAGUGGGGGACAACAUUCCGAAAGGAAUGCUAAUACCGCAUCCGCCCUACGGGGGAAAGCAGGGGAUGUUCGGACCUUGCGCUAAGAGAUGAGCCUAGGUCGGAUUAGUGAGUUGGUGGGGUAAAGGCCUACCAAGGCGACGAGCUGUAGCGGGUCUGAGAGGAUGAUCCGCCACACUGGGACUGAGACACGGCCCAGACUCCUACGGGAGGCAGCAGUGGGGAAUAUUGGACAAUGGGCGGAAGCCUGAUCCAGCCAUGCCGCGUGUGUGAAGAAGGCCUUUUGGUUGUAAAGCACUUUAAGCGAGGAGGAGGCUACCUGGAUUAAUACUCUAGGAUAGUGGACGUUACUCGCAGAAUAAGCACCGGCUAACUCUGUGCCAGCAGCCGCCGUAAAAC